GACGAACGCUGGCGGCGUGCCUAAUACAUGCAAGUAGAACGCACAGUUUAUACCGUAGCUCGCUACACCAUAGACUGUGAGUUGCGAACGGGUGAGUAACGCGUAGGUAACCUGCCUGGUAGCGGGGGAUAACUAUUGGAAACGAUAGCUAAUACCGCAUAAUAUUGAUUAUUGCAUGAUAAUUGAUUGAAAGAUGCUAUUGCAUCACUACCAGAUGGACCUGCGUUGUAUUAGCUAGUAGGUGAGGUAACGGCUCACCUAGGCGACGAUACAUAGCCGACCUGAGAGGGUGAUCGGCCACACUGGGACUGAGACACGGCCCAGACUCCUACGGGAGGCAGCAGUAGGGAAUCUUCGGCAAUGGACGAAAGUCUGACCGAGCAACGCCGCGUGAGUGAAGAAGGUUUUCGGAUCGUAAAGCUCUGUUGUAAGAGAAGAACGGGUGUGAGAGUGGAAAGUUCACACUGUGACGGUAUCUUACCAGAAAGAGACGGCUAACUACGUG
rnacentral:rRNA from 1 species